rnacentral:tRNA from 1 species
GCUGAUUUAUUUUAAUGGUAGAAGCACUGACUUGUAAUCAGUAGAUGUCAGUUCGAUUCUGACAAUCAGCUCCA